rnacentral:rRNA from 1 species
ACUCCUACGGGAGGCAGCAGUGGGAAGUAUUGCACAAUGGGGAAACCCUGAUGCAGCCAUGCCGCGUGUGUGAAGAAGGCCUUCGGUUGUAAAGCACUUUCAGUAGGGAGGAAGGUAGUGUAGUUAACACCUGCAUUAUUUGACGUUACCUACAGAAGAAGCACCGGCUAACUCCGUGCCAGCAGCCGCGGUAAUACGGAGGGGUGCGAGCGUUAAUCGGAAUUACUGGGCGUAAAGCGCAUGCAGGCGGCCUGUUAAGUCAGAUGUGAAAGCCCGGGGGCUUAACCUCGGAAUUGCAUUUGAAACUGGCAGGCUAGAGUCUUGUAGAGGGGGUAGAAUUUCAGGUGUAGGCGGUGAAAUGCGUAGAGAUCUGAAGGAAUACCAGUGGCGAAGGCGGCCCCCGUGGACAAAGA